UAAAUUGAUCCAAUCCAAGUU
ensembl:piRNA 21ur-7399 ncRNA